AGAGUCCUGAAACAUCACUUCCUUUUUAUUUUUCUUAUACGGCAGAGAACUAAAAAUCAGUUGUAUCUGCACUGCUCCACAGUAGCCUCGAGAUAAUUUUAAAUCUCCUUUGAGUUGCUGGAGUGGACAAAAGGACUUGUGAAAGCCUCUGCGUGUUUCCAAGGAAGUACAAUGAGCUGAAAGGCUGUUACCAGUCUGCUGUGGUUUACGUGCAGUUGUCACAUUCUGUGUCAGGUCUCAUUGCAAUCAGUGGGAAUUCUGCCAUUAACUUCAUUAGGACCAAGAUUUGCCCUAAGCCCCAGCUGAUAUUUUGUGUACACCACUGGAGUUAUUCUAUUUUCUGCCAGCUCAUAAUUCUGAAUGCUAGAUUAAGAGAUUUUGGCAAAGACCAGUGAACAAAGGCUGUUGCUUCUUUAUUACGGGAAAGUUUUGGUUUUGAGAUAGGUAAUAGUAUGACUUUGUAUUUGUACUGUACAGCUGAGUUCAGAAACUAGUCUCUUUGUGUGCUGACUCAUGAUGAAUGCCAGAGCCUUGGAUCUUUGACACCUGCAGUUAACAACAUAAAUGGCAAAAAAAGCCUGUGAACAUGUAGAUAAUGUAAUUUAAACACAGAUUGGACUUUGUGUGAACCUUUCCCUCUAAUUGGAAAGAAAUACAAAAUGACCUCCAUAACAAAAGAAUAUUGAACACAAGUAAAUAACCCAUUGCAUUUCUUUUGCGUGCUGCCCAAAAGACUCUGGAUUGAUAUUUCAACAUCGUGUCAUAGUUUCAUUGACUGCAGAACUAGCUUCUGUCUUCAUCAGGAAGCAUCUUAAUCUGGAAUUGCUCCAGCUGGAAAGUAGAAUUUACCGUACUCACUACACAGUUUUACAAUAUGUUAAUCUAAAAUUAUUUUGAGAAAAACAAUGUGAAUUACAGCUCUACAGUGAAAUGUCUAGCAGCUUUAUUCUGCCCUUGGAUCUAUAUGUGUAAGUCUCACUGAUAGCAAUAUAAUUUCUGCACAUAGACCUGGGGAUAAGGUUUGAUUAAUGAUGUUUUCUUCUUACACAAAGUAUAUAUUCCUGCAGGUUUUUUUGGCUGCCCAUGUCUUACGGUAGUACAGCUGACAGAAGCUAUGUGCUGAUCUCUAUGCCAGCCUCUCAGGAAUGAUGUUAGUACAUGAGGAGUCGUUGCUCAUAUGACUAGCACCAGUAUUAUUCUGUUCCUCUUGGGUAGCUGAAAACAGAAGGAGAUUAUUGUACUCUGAAAAACCUGAAUCUGAUCCAAAAGACACCCUUGGAGAAGGAGAAAACUAGGUUCUUUCUUCAUUGUACAAUUUUCUGCAUUAAAACCUAAUGCAACAUUCACUGAAGGCAAGAUGACCAAUUACAUUGCUUACCGUGGGAAGAAUAUCAGGCUUUGGCCUUUCUACUGAAAUCAAACAAAGGUAUAAUUUAAGGGUGAAUGUGACAAUGUGAGGUAGUUAUGAUCUACUAAAAUUUUGGAAAAGCAUAAAACCCAUAACCGCAGCCAUUGUCAGAUCCAUCCAGUGCAGCAUCUUAUCUCUGACAGUAGCCAACUGGGGGUGUCCAAGGGAGAGUAUGAAGACAAGGCAGAUGGUGAUACUUCACAGGAUUUUCUCCAAUAUUAAAGGAGAAACUCAAACUCCAUUGACACAGAACACAGAGAGUCAAAAGAGUAACUAUUUUCAGUCUCUCAUCUCCUAGUUCGAAUUUGAAAUAGCCGAACACAUGACAGCUCCACAUUCCAUUACCACUAGCAGCUGGUUCAAAGCCUGAGCCAGGGUAAAAUUAUGUGCAAGGCAUGCAUCACGCUCGACAUUGUGUGAAAAGACUGCGCUGAAAUGCUUUAAGAUUUAGGAGGAAAUUGGAUGCAGAUUAAAAGGGCUUUUAAACCAGCAAAUAGAAACAUUCCCUGGGUGCCCACAAUCCUUUUCAAAUACGCCUGACAAUGAAUUCCUUCUAAGUUCAUAUUUGUGUUUGUUUUACUGUAUGAAAUUCUGAUUUCAUACAGGAAUGAAACGCUGCAGUCCAGCAUUUUACCCUGAAGAAAAAUAUUUGCCGUUAAAAAGAGUAUUCAUAAAACUUUUACUUCCUCAUGUUUUUAAGGAUCCCUUGCUAAUUAAUAAGCUCCAUUAGUAGAAGAGUUAGUUCUUUUACAAUUAAAGCUAAUAUCAAGACCUCUCUUUUUUUGCUCGCUUUUCUGCAAUUUACUUUUCACCAUUAAGACUCAGAAUAAGACAGACAUAAUAAGCCUUCUCUUGAGCCACAGAGCCUUUUAGCUGUAACGAAAGCUGAAAGCAAAGAAUGUGAGAAACUGAUGGCUUCUCAGUGUAAGGAAGAAAAACGGGGAGGAGGGAAAAAUGUAAAGGAUGAUACUAAUCACUCGGUCCUUACUUCCCUGCUGAGCUCAGCAAGUUGUUGAAUUAAGCAAGUGCAGAUCACCCCAAAAAUGUCACAGAGGAGAAGCCAACAAUACCUCUUUUUUUGUCUGUAGGACACAGAUGGGAUGUAGAUGCCCGGGGCUAGGAAGCAUUUUCCAGUACCCUUAAAACCCUAGAAAUACCUACUUUCUGAAGUGUAGCAUUCUUGAGGUUUUUGAACAUAAACACUAACAUGUUGGCAGAAGUCAGAGAGAGGAACGCCUGCCUUGCUCUGCUGUGGUCCAAAAGCAAGGUGCAGAGGUUCCCCAAUUCUAAGGCUCUGAGUGGCAUGCAGAAGUGUCCUUCAGGUACAAGGCUUGCUUCAAGAUUGACAUACAAUUUACUACUUUCUGUCAGACGGGGAAUUGUAUGCUUUACCUGAAUUUGAAGCUUGCUCACGGUAUGGUUUCUGUUUUCUUUAGCCGGUGACUGGGCAAUUUAAAAUACACAAACAAUUGUGAGAACAAAAUGCAAGCCUUUUGAUUUUCUUCCUAGCUGACUGACCUGUCUUCUACAUUUGUUUUGGUCCUGUGAAGCUUGAAUUUAUAGCUUCACCGUAGAUCAUCUUCUACGGAAGGGAGCAAGUAUGCUUUUUUCCUUCUUAUUGCAUUAGCCCGUGAUUAUGUACUCUGUGUGGCAGUAAGAUAUUGACUGAAGUCCCUCCUGUUGAAGUGGUAAGUGUACUCAGGUCUCCUGGAUAAAUGCUUUAUCUUAUUAUUCAAUAACUGAGGUCCAGCAUACUUUAAGUGUGGUUUUUGAUGAAUUUGCCUGUAUGAAAAUUGUAACUUUAGUAUUUGAAUUACUUUGGAUUCAGUGACUUAAGGGAUGUCUACAUGAACAACUUAACUCAGAAGUCUGUUUUUAAAGCAAAUCCCCCAAUAAUCCCUCCUUUUACCAUGCUGUGUUUUGUAUCAUGGGGUAAUCUCUGCACACACAGGCUGGUUCCCUUUCCGAUGAAAUUAAAGUAGUAGGUGUAUUCAGGAAUUGCACCUGACGUACUGUAGUCAUUAAUGGGUAUUCAGGUUAGAGUUCUGCUGAAAUAAAACUCUUGAAACUUGUAUAGUGUGGAUGUAUAGUUGGAUAGUUCUCCAGCGAGAAUCGUUUUGCUCUACAGAUAUGUUCCUGUUGUGUUGCACGACGUGUAAAUGCAGACAUAGCCUUAUGCUGAGCUUUGACCCUCUUCUCCUUUAUCUCUAUUGAAGAAACCUGGGGAGGAGAAAGGAAAGAAAAUACAAGUUGGCAGCAAAAUAUAGAAAUAGGAAAUAGAUAGCACUUCAGAGGACAAAAAAGCGCUGCUGACUGAGAAGGAAUGAAAAAAACAGUGGGUCUGCUGAGAAGGAAAGCUGUGAGAAGUUUGUGCUGUUAGUGCAAGGAUGCUUCCAGAAAGAGACUUGUACCAGGCAAUUGCUGAGGAAUCUGUGGAGAUAGGUAAUAAAGAAGGAAACUAUUUCUAGUAUUAGCAAAUUCCCUGCUAUCUGAAGCAUUACAGGUUUUUCAGCGAGAGUGAUAACACAGAAACCUGGCGGACAAUGGUUUUCAGAGACUGCCUGCUGCUUCUGCUGAGGAGGCAAAGAUAUUGCAUAUCAUAUCUUUGAGCCCCAUAACUGCUGAAUGUAAAUCAGCAUUACUACCUCAUUCAUCAGCGUGAUGUCUUUAAUUGUGGAGCUGGAAGAUUAAUUUACAAUGUCUGGAAAACGGCCCAAUUUUCAGGAGAAGCGUUUGUAUUAAAUGAUCAAUGCAACAAUGAAAAAGUGAUUGUAUGUAACCCUUGAAUCUUAUUUUGAUCCAAGAAAAAAAGCAAAGACUGUAGCCGUGAAUAGCAACUAUUUUUAUUCCCAUAGGUUCCUGGAUCCAUUAAGAUUAUCGUGGUAUUUAAGUGUUACAUCAUUGUACCUGACAUCAAGUUCAUUAAUAUUAAUUUUUGUUGACUGAACAAACAAAAAGGGCAGUAUAUUAAAUACUAAACUAUGUUAAGAGCUGGACAGCAUUAUUUUCUUUCUUGCCUAAAAUCUUACAAACCUAGAAGCUUUGUUCUUAACUACUUAACUGUUAUUGAAAUGUCUCUUGUCCUUUUGUGAAUCCUCAACAGAAACAGGACAAACUCUGAAGAUGGAUCAACAGUAAGACAUACUUUCUUCUGACAAUUAGCUGCAGCGACUUGGUCCUUCUGUCUGGUCCUGUCCAUAACUACAUAUCCAGAAUGUAUGUUUUACUGUGAUUAAAGCAUAUAAAAUUAAUAACUGUUUCCACAUAUGCCAGAAGAUGAGUGUGAGAACAUAUUUUCUUUAUUUUUUCCUUUUUAGAAAGCAGAACAGAUAUCAGGAUCCACCUAAAAGCCUCUUUCGUAUCACUGGUGUUUCUCUAGUCAUCCAAACUUACAUUGCUGUCCCUCUUUCAUUUCAGCCAAUCUGAAAUCCUAGAAGAGUGGAGAGAAACAAAACACAAUUUCCACCCCAUAAAACCGAAGCAGAGGGAGGAAGGAAGAAAGAGUGAGGUCGUAUGAGCCGUGAAACCAAUCAUAAUCAAAGAUUGCACAACUUCCAUUGGCUGUCAAGUUUCUUAUGAUCUGUUUUUAUAAACUGAAAUGUUUUGAACUUCCUACAAGUAAACUGGAAGCCUUUUUCUGUUAGCGAGACCAUUAGAGACUAUGGAGAUGCAGGCAUAGUGUUUACCAAACAAUAGAAGGUGUAUCUCUGCA